rnacentral:rRNA from 1 species
CNUUCGUAUGACGGGUAUCCGGCCUGAGAGGGUGAACGGACACACUGGAACUGAGACACGGUCCAGACUCCUACGGGAGGCAGCAGUAGGGAAUAUUGCUCAAUCGGGGGAAACCCUGAAGCAGCAACGCCGCGUGGAGGAUGAAGGUUUUAGGAUUGUAAACUCCUUUUGUUAGAGAAGAUAAUGACGGUAUCUAACGAAUAAGCACCGGCUAACUCCGUGCCAGCAGCCGCGGUAAUACGGAGGGUGCAAGCGUUACUCGGAAUCACUGGGCGUAAAGAGCGCGUAGGCGGGAUAGUCAGUCAGGUGUGAAAUCCUAUGGCUUAACCAUAGAACUGCAUUUGAAACUACUAUUCUAGGAGUGUGGGAGAGGUAGGUGGAAUUCUUGGUGUAGGGGUAAAAU